AUGUCAAUUUACAAAUUAAUAGCGUGUGUGUCCAGCUCUGGUUGCAAUGCAAGCAACACAUCUUCGUCUCAUGGAAUGGACCAGGUGUCGCACAAAGUCCUGUGGGAUAUCUGCUGGAGCAUGUUUUAAAGUUCCUGGAGUGUUUGUGGAACACAUGGUUGACGGCGAAGGCGACGAUCCAUCUCAUCCCACAUGUGCUCGAUUGGUGAGAGAUCAGGGGAGCAAGUCGGCCAGUGGAUGACAUUCAUGUUUUGUUGAAGAGAUUCCUGAACAUGAAACCAACACUACCAACAUUUUCACAAUUGUUGCCAUGGAAACUCAUAUUUUUUUUAAAUAUCCCAAACUA